ensembl:antisense 4933431E20Rik RIKEN cDNA 4933431E20 gene
GUGAAGUUCUCCCAGGGCUGUUGAUGCUUCAUCUACUCUUCUGGCAGUGGGGGCCUGGACCUUAGUUACCCGGGGAGCGUGAGUCAUGUUGCACAGUUGAGCUGGCACAUAAAACUACGAGCUCCUGCUUCCUGACCUGCUUGAGUUCCAGUCCUGACUUCUUUCAGUGAUGAACAGCAAUGUGGAAAUUUUAUAGAACAAGGAAUUGAAGCUUGGAGAAGAUUGAUGGACCACUCAAGUUCCCUGGAUGGUCCAGGAUGCAGACUGAGGAUGGCCUAAAACAUUAGUUUUGCUGGCUCCCUGUGCUUGGCUAACUUUAGAGCCUCUUACCUUGCCACAGUCUUUUCUAUGAAGGACAG